rnacentral:rRNA from 1 species
ACCAUGCACCGAAGCUGCGGCAGCGACACUGUGUGUUGUUGGGUAGGGGAGCGUUCUGUAAGCCUGUGAAGGUGUGUCGUGAGGCAUGCUGGAGGUAUCAGAAGUGCGAAUGCUGACAUAAGUAACGAUAAAGCGGGUGAAAAGCCCGCUCGCCGGAAGACCAAGGGUUCCUGUCCAACGUUAAUCGGGGCAGGGUGAGUCGACCCCUAAGGCGAGGCCGAAAGGCGUAGUCGAUGGGAAACGGGUUAAUAUUCCCGUACUUGGUGUUACUGCGAAGGGGGGACGGAGAAGGCUAUGUUGGCCGGGCGACGGUUGUCCCGGUUUAAGCGUGUAGGUGUGUGUUCCAGGUAAAUCCGGUUCACUUUAACACUGAGGCGUGACGACGAGGCACUACGGUGCUGAAGCAACAAAUGCCCUGCUUCCAGGAAAAGCCUCUAAGCAUCAGGUAACAUCAAAUCGUACCCCAAACCGACACAGGUGGUCAGGUAGAGAAUACCAAGGCGCUUGAGAGAACUCGGGUGAAGGAACUAGGCAAAAUGGUGCCGUAACUUCGGGAGAAGGCACGCUGACACGUAGGUGAAGUGAUUUACUCAUGGAGCUGAAGUCAGUCGAAGAUACCAGCUGGCUGCAACUGUUUAUUAAAAACACAGCACUGUGCAAACACGAAAGUGGACGUAUACGGUGUGACGCCUGCCCGGUGCCGGAAGGUUAAUUGAUGGGGUCAGCGCAAGCGAAGCUCCUGAUCGAAGCCCCGGUAAACGGCGGCCGUAACUAUAACGGUCCUAAGGUAGCGAAAUUCCUUGUCGGGUAAGUUCCGACCUGCACGAAUGGCGUAAUGAUGGCCAGGCUGUCUCCACCCGAGACUCAGUGAAAUUGAACUCGCUGUGAAGAUGCAGUGUACCCGCGGCAAGACGGAAAGACCCCGUGAACCUUUACUAUAGCUUGACACUGAACAUUGAGCCUUGAUGUGUAGGAUAGGUGGGAGGCUUUGAAGUGUGGA